rnacentral:lncRNA from 1 species
UGGCCCUGUGCUACCUCAUGGCCGUGGGACUCAGCAAGGGCCACAAGGUGACGAAGAACGUCAGCAAGUGAGACACAGCUGGCAUUGCAGGCGCCUCACUAAGCACACCAAGUUCAUACGGGACAUGAUCCAGGAAGUGUGCAGCUUUGCACUCUAUGAGCGGCGCACCUUGGAGUUGCUCAAAGUGUCCAAGGACAAGAGCACAAUCAAGUUCAUCAAGAAGAGGGUGGGCAUGCACAUCCAUGCCAAGAGAAAGCAGGAGAAGCUGAGCAACGUGCUGGCAGCCAUGAGGAAGGCGGUGGCCAAGAAGGAUU